rnacentral:rRNA from 1 species
GAUGAACGCUGGCGGCGUGCCUAAUACAUGCAAGUCGAGCGAACAGACGAGGAGCUUGCUCCUCUGACGUUAGCGGCGGACGGGUGAGUAACACGUGGAUAACCUACCUAUAAGACUGGGAUAACUUCGGGAAACCGGAGCUAAUACCGGAUAAUAUAUUGAACCGCAUGGUUCAAUAGUGAAAGACGGUUUUGCUGUCACUUAUAGAUGGAUCCGCGCCGCAUUAGCUAGUUGGUAAGGUAACGGCUUACCAAGGCGACGAUGCGUAGCCGACCUGAGAGGGUGAUCGGCCACACUGGAACUGAGACACGGUCCAGACUCCUACGGGAGGCAGCAGUAGGGAAUCUUCCGCAAUGGGCGAAAGCUUGGCGGAGCAACGCCGCGUGAGUGAUGAAGGUCUUCGGAUCGUAAAACUCUGUUAUUAGGGAAGAACAAAUGUGUAAGUAACUAUGCACGUCUUGACGGUACCUAAUCAGAAAGCCACGGCUAACUACGUG